rnacentral:rRNA from 1 species
CCUACGGGAGGCAGCAGUAGGGAAUAUUGCUCAAUGGGGGAAACCCUGAAGCAGCAACGCCGCGUGGAGGAUGAAGGUUUUAGGAUUGUAAACUCCUUUUGUUAGAGAAGAUUAUGACGGUAUCUAACGAAUAAGCACCGGCGAACUCCGUGCCAGCAGCCGCGGUAAUACGGAGGGUACAAGCGUUACUCGGAAUCUCUGGGCGUAAAGAGUGCGUAGGCGGGGUAUUAUGUCAGAUGGGCAAUCCUGUGGCUUAACUACAGAACUGCAUUGGCAACUGGUACUCUGGAGUGUGGGAGAGGUGGGUGGAAUGCGUGGGGUAGGGGUAAAAUCCGUAGAGAUCAAGAGGAAUACGCAUUGCGAAGGCGACCUGCUGGAACAUUACUGACGCUGAUGCACGAAAGCGUGGGGAGCAAACAGGAUUAGAUACCCUAGUAGUC